AUACGUAGGGGGCGAGCGUUGUCCGGAAUGAUUGGGCGUAAAGGGCGCGUAGGCGGCCCGGUAAGUCUGGAGUGAAAGUCCUGUUUUUAAGAUGGGAAUUGCUUUGGAUACUGUCCGGCUUGAGUGCAGGAGAGGUAAGUGGAAUUCCCAGUGUAGCGGUGAAAUGCGUAGAGAUUGGGAGGAACACCAGUGGCGAAGGCGACUUACUGGACUGUAACUGACGCUGAGGCGCGAAAGUGUGGGGAGCAAACAGGAUUAGAUACCCUGGUAGUCCACACUGUAAACGAUGAAUGCUAGGUGUAGGGGGUAUCGACCCCUUCUGUGCCGCAGUCAACACAAUAAGCAUUCCGCCUGGGGAGUACGGCCGCAAGGUUGAAACUCAAAUGAAUUGGCGGG
rnacentral:rRNA from 1 species